ACGACAAAGACCCCAAAAAGAAAGCCAUGAAGUUUCCAUUUAUUGAAAUUGUAAAUGAGGAGUCUUUCGAGGAGUCUUUCAAGGAGUCAGACAUUUUGAGGGGUUGAAGAAAUUUAUUACAAGGUAACUUCUGCAGCAGCAUUCCAAGGGAUUUUAGGGUACCAAGGUACUAUAGUUCUGGCAACAGGUACAGGUUUCUGUGAUCCAUAAGGAAGCACACCUGUAAAUUCCCAUAAACCCUCAUUUCAAUUGCCUUAGACUCCCUUAAUGCUCGCCUGGAUUUAAGGAGAAAAGAAAAUGAAAAAAGGUGAUCAGUAACAGCAGGAAACUUUUUACCAGGGAGUCCACAUGUUUUACAUCAACCCCAAACUUCAUCACAGCUCUGCAUCCAUCACUGCUAAACCAUGGAGAAGCUGAACAGCCUAAAUACUGACAGCAAAGCCGCUCUGAUUGCAAGAACUUGCUCUCCAGGCUACGAAACCACCCAGGGAUUGGGAAAUAAAGAAGGCUCUUUAGGUCCAGCUCCACGUCCCUACAAACAGGAUCAGUGGGACCAUUCUGCAGUGUCCUGUGGAGCUAAUGAGUGCAUGGGUGACAGAAAUUGCCAAUGAACCUUGGAUCAUGGAAAACCCCAAACUGCUGACAGAACAUUAAGAAAAGGGGGCUCACUUCACACAUUCUUUACCUAAAAAGCUAAUGAUGCUUUUCCUAGAGGUAAACAACCAGUUAUGAAAGCUCAUACUCUUCAGUACCUGCUGCAGCCCUUUUCCCCUGGGUCCAGCACUAGGGCUUUUAUCAAGCACAGUGAGAAACGUCCCCAAGACCCCCGGUAACAAGUAGAUGCUACUACUGUAGAGUGGGUUUAGCUCUCGCUUGAGCUACACGGCUACAUCCUCCUCCUAGCCCCCAUCCAGCCCCACGGAAUUAUAUCCUCCGCACUGCCGGAUAAUCCCGUCCAUCCCCGUGGGUUUACUCCAGGCAGUCCCUCCCUGCCAGCCCAAGUGCUGGGCUGGACUCGGCUUUCCGGAGCCGCUAUCCGCCUCCAGCUCCGCAUGCAGGCAGCGAAUCCCCGCAGCAGCCCCGGAACCGCCGCUCGCCGCUGCCGGGCGCUGCCGCAGGAGGGAUGAGCGGCGGGGUCAGCCCCGGCAUGUGCGGCCCCGGGCCCCCCCGCGCUGCCCCCGGCAUGUGCGGCCCUGCCCGCGGGGCGGGGGUCACCCGCCCCCCGGCCCCCAGCCCGGGGCCGCCGGCUCCGGCCCGGCCCCGCUCCGGUCCCGCGCACGGCAGGAGGCGGCGGGGCCCCGCUGGCCCCCGGGGAGCCGCGGCGGGGGCGGAUGGAGACAGCGGGCACGGCGGCGGGCUGGGUUAUUUUCUUCCAUCUUCCUCUCAUCUCUGGAAGCUCCAUCAGUAUUGGGAUAGGCAGCAAUUAUUCCAAUCUCUCAAUCGCCUCGAACCAGAGCAGCGCUUCCAGCGCCUUCCCGAGCGCCGGGGAGCACGGCGGUGACAGCAGCCUGCUGGUGUCCCCGCUGCUGGUGGCAGGGGUGGUCAUCGGGCUGGUGCUGCUGCUGUCCUGUGCCACCAUCGUGGUGGGCAGCCUGCGCAGGGACAGCCGGGCCGGCCGGGCCCGCCCGGGCAGCGCGGCUGCGGACGCUCCGGAUGGUUUCUCCCACGGCGGCUCCUCUGCAGAGCUGAGAUCCACCUGCAGCGAGGAGUUCACCCCAGCCUGUGAUUUUGACUCCUACCUAGAUAUACUUUCUCAGGUGAACAUCAUGUAUCCUGACCCACCUCCAUGCUAUGAUGAAUGCGUGGGGCCGGGAGCAACACAAAUAUAUAUUCCCACAGAUGAUCCCCCUCCAUAUUCCCUUACGGACCCUUGCCAAAGAAAUGAAAUACCUAGAAACAUCUGUAUCGGCCAGGAGGAGGGAGCAGCCCCUGGGACUGCAGCGCGGCUGCGGGAGCGGCAGCAGCCCGGCGCAGCCCUGGCGCUGAUCCCGCAGUGCGGAGGCUGCUCCCCCGGCGGGACAGCGGCGUGUGAGCCCAGCCUGCUCCGGGAACACGGAGCGUCCUCCCGCUGCCCACCGCACCCAGGUCACCGCAAUGAAAGCGGCUCUUUCCUUCAGUUCUUCUGAAGAACUCAGACCAAUAGAAGAAUAAAACCUCUGGAAGUUUUACCAAUUUUAUAUCUUUAAAUAGGGAUACAAUGGGAUUUUUUUUUACAGUGAAUUUUGCAAGUUUACGUAAAUUUCCCUGUUUGUGCUUCAGUGUUCCAUGGCAUCACAAAGCAUAAAAGAAGCAGAGACAAGCAGUGCAUCUGACCUUUCUGAAGCAUUGCAGAACUCAUUGAAAUUAACCACUCAUAAUGAAGAUAAAUGUUAUCCAGUCAAGCCUACUUGUUGAUUUUAUGAUACUUUGCAUGUUUUAGAACAGAAGGAAAAAGAAGAGCCUUUUGUUGUCAUUGUAGGUGUCACUAGUACAGUUCAUUCAGUGUAUUGACAACAAAGCAUUUUUAAAUAACUCUUUGUCUGUGUGUUUCAGUAGGCAAAGCACUGCCUAAAAAAAAAAAAAUAUUAUCAGUACCAUGUAGAAGCAAAAGAAAAAAAAUAAUAUUUUAAUAUUCACAUUAUUUCUUUGGUACCAGGCUUUCCAGGCCAUUGCAAAGCCUGUUGCAAGUCUUCCUCAAAAGACACCAUGCACAGGUGGAGGAGAGGUGGCAGUGGGUCCCCACGGUGCAGCUGGCUUUACUGGCAGGAGCUGCAGCACAGCUGUGCAGGCUGGAGCUGCGCAUCCUUCACGGGCUCGCCGUAGCCAAGGGAAGGCACAGCAAUCCUAGAGGAUGCUGCAGGCCAGCUCCCGCACACGGCUGCAUUUCCAGGCACAAUCCCAGCUCUUUUCCCAUAAGGAGUGCGGGUGUUCCCGGGUGACCACAGUGACCUCUGGGAGCUGUGCGAGUGCCAGGCAAACAGAGACCCUGGGCUGGGCACAGUAACAGAGCCCCAGGGGCCUCGGAGUGUUCCCAGCUUUAGAGAAGGGACCAGGAAAAGGAACCCAACGAGUGAGCCCAGGACACUGGGAUGGCAGUCCACGGGUCCCCAGCCGGUGUGCAGGGCAGUGGGAGCUCAGCUCGGGCCCAGCAGGGCCAGGGCACAGCAGCACCUUGUCCCCAGGGCCGGCCGGGGCUGCACUCGCCGGAGCGUCCCCUGCACCAGCCCGGCCAGAGGAGACCGAGUAUGGCACCGAGGGGCUCCCAGAACGGGCACUGGCUCUGGGGCGGGCAGGGCAGCGGGACCCAGCCCCUCAUGGGCACCCCUUGUUCCUUUUCCCCUCCCGAGAGCCGCUGGCCAAGCCCCAGGCACCUGCCGGGCACAGCUCCCAGGGCUGGAUCUGUGCUUGAAGGACAACGCAUCCCCCGAGCUUCCUCACCCUGAGCUGGGGACGGGAAGAGCUGCUUUCCCCUCCUCCUUUGUAUGGCCCAGCAAAAAAAAUGCAGCAAGAGUCAGACUAGAGGCCAGUCCUGACAUCCAACAGCAGGCGGCCAAGGAGGUUUCCGUCUAUUGCCUGAAACAAAACAGAGCUGGGAUCCUGUUGCUCACUGCUCCUGGAAAGUCCCAUUCCUCAUCUAAAUAGUGCCAUUCCUCAUCUGAAAGCUUCUGUGUGUCUGGCCUAGGACACACAACCCACAAGAGAGCAAGGAGAGCUCAACCCUGUGCUUUUCUUGGGACUUUCCCCUGGAAAACUUCUUUGCUGGGUUGUUUUGAAAUGUGUUGCUGCAGGAAACGCAUUCUACAUUUUAAAGUAAUUUUUAAGUUCUGUGUCUAAUGGAAAACCCCAGGGUGAGUCUGGGUGCUAGCAGGAAGCAGAACUGGCUGCCAGCACAUCAACAGCAGGGAUGGAGCUCCAGCUCCUUGGGGCACCCACAAGCCUGGGCUCCAUCUGGGACCAGGGACAGGAGCCAAGGAGCUGUGGCAGGGGACCAGAGUUAUCACAGGCUCAUCUCCAGGAAAUUUCUUAGAGGCAUUUUCACUAAAAUACAAAAAAAAAAAAAAAAAAAAAAAAAGAAGUUUCUUACACAGAGAAAAUGGACUCCAUUUUCUAUCCCCACAAAUUACUAAAAUUGCACUUGGAUUUCCUGUAAAUACUAAAUAAUUUUCAACUGUAAUCAUCAUUCAACACUCCAAAGAUUGACACAAUUAUAAUUAAUACUUAGAUGGGAAGUAAUUAUAUGGUUCUUACUGCUAUAUAAAUUAUACCAUUACUGAGUCAUAUGCACAUGAUGAGAUAUAAGGUAAGCAUGCAUUUUUUGCUAAGUAGACAACAGUAAAUAUGUACGUUGCUAAAAAUGAGACAAUUCUUUUGCAGUUCAGCAAGAUUUUCAAUAUUCUCAGUAUACUAUACCCAAAAGAACAAAAAUUCACCAUUUUGCACUGCAGAACUGCUGGCAGGCGUUGCUAGAAGUAACAGUGAAGUGUGCCUGGCACUGUGCUCUGGGUUUGGCAGCAUUUCUUUCACACAUCGGCCUGCUCCCUCUGGUGGCGUGGACCCUUCCAUAAAAUCCUGUCAUCCUGUUAUCACAGAAUAAUCCAAAUAACCCCAGCUGCGCUGUCACACCCAUAUGGGAGCCAACCAAAACAUCCACAAUCAGCUGUAGCAUUUUUCUGGGUUACCACUGCAUACCUGGGUUUUGUGGUUCAUUACAAACAUAUAUAAUUAAAAAACAAACUGUAAAUUGAAGGCAAAGCAUGCUUCCUUCUGUGAUAUCUUACCACCAUCACUUGCAGGAGUGGUUUAGCAUUUUCUGCUCUUGUUGAUCUUUUUAAUUGAGUGAAAUCCAACAAAGCGGGGGGAAGGGGGGAAGCUUAUAAAUCCAGAAAGACAGCACUAGAAAGAAAAAAAUUAGCUGUAAAACACUACAGAGAGAUGUUUGCAGCUCUGAAGCUGCUCCAACAGCUUCUGAUGCUACUACUGCAGGUGUUGAAAUUCCUUGUAAUGAUGCAGU